GCUCGCUCGAAGGCCCCCGUGGAGGAGAAGUAAACAGAAAUGUUCAUAAAUAAUCAUUAGCUAGCAUUGGCACUAUUGAUUUGCCUUUAAAACAAUGUUUUUACAGUGAUCACUACACCAUGGCAGAUGGUGGCGAGUUGGAUAACUGUAUUAUAAUCUAUCCUACUGUCAGUAUGAUUUUUUCUUGCUUGAUGUGAAUUUUAUCGGUGUUUUAAAAGGCAAUCUAGCUAGCUAUGUCAAGGGGAUUUAUUAUGCUAUUUAAAUUGUAGUUAAUUGUUUUCCAGCAGCUAGGUCGAUUGCUAUUCAUGUUAUGCUUGUAAAUGAUUAGCUAGUUAUGUUGUGAUGUUAUUCAAUCAAUUGUAGCAUUACUAGCUAACUAUCUCACUUAGCGACUGAAUUGUUGUUGAGAGAUUCAGCAAGGUAAUGUAACACCAAACAAGUAGGGAGUUAUUUUUGGGUCGCAGCUGCUGGAAAUUCAAUGUUUGGGGGAGGAUGGAGUGUGAGAAUAGAGAUUGAUGUGUGUGUGCACCAUUGAUAGUAAAAUAAUGUGCGUGCGUGAGAGAUCCUGCGCGCACUUGUCUGUGGUCAAAGGGCAGCUUUAACAGUUUCUCCCACUGAGACAAGAUACUACUGACUCAGCAGGUCAACCCAGGACACAUGAGACGUGCAUUGGAUGAGCUGUUGAAGGAAACCAAUCGGGCUGGGUGCAAGCAGAAACCAUGGGUUCAGCAGGCUGGAUGAAGUGUCCGCUGUGCAGCACUAACAAGCGUUUCCUGCUCAACACCAUUCCACAGCGCUGCCCUGCUGGCCACUCAGGAGUACAG